AAACUCAAAGAUAUGUCACGCCGCUAUACUGCAUUACUGCUUCCCUUUUUUUUUCUCUCUCUUCUUGUCUCCUUUCUGGGAUCUCUUCUUCUUCGAUCUCUAAAUCGGUUAAUCUCAUAUCUCGCCGGCGACACUAACUUCUCACCGGCGGCCGACACUUAUCCCUCACAACAUCAGAAGGCAGCAUCUUGUUUCUUAUCAGUUUAUCGGAAUGCAGAUAGGUAAAUUUAUUGUCUUAGUGAUGAACUUGUAAACAUUAUAUUAGUCCUCAAGUUAUUCAAUUAGAGAUGUAUUAGCUAGGGAUGUAUUAGCUAUUCCAGUUUCCACGGUCGCAUCGGAAUCUGCAUUUAGCACCGGGGGACGGAUACUUGAUCAAUUUCGUAGUUCUCUUUCAUCACUUAUGGCAGAAGCUUUAAUAUGCGGACAAGAUUGGUUGCGUGUUGCAAAUCGCCCACUUAUUAUUGAAGAAAGUAUUGCUGAAAUGGAAAAGAUUGAGGAGGAUUUGUCCUCGUUGGUGGAGCAGCCAUCAGUUUCAGUCGUUGAUGAUUAUUUCUAAUUAUCAAAUUUCAUUUGUUUUAGAUAUGUAAUGUAGUUGAAGACUUGUAAUGUUAAUUCGUUGAUGAAGACUUGUAAUUUCAAGUUGCUGACUUGGUGGCAGCAUUGCCUUGUAUGGAUGUAUGGCUAACUGCAUCUGCUAGCUUUUAUCAUUUUAUGCAUAGUUUCUUACCUUUAGUUUAA